AAUCACGUCUAGACGGCGUGCCUCAGACAUGCAAGUCGAACGUGAAAGCUCCCUUCGGGGGGCAAGUAGAGUGGCGCACGGGUGAGUAACACGUAGGUAAUCUACCUUCGGAUGGGGAAUAACAACCGGAAACGGUUGCUAAUACCGCAUAAUGCAGCGGCACCUAAUGGUGACAGUUGUUAAAGCGGGGGAUCGAAAGACCUCGCGUCUGAAGAGGAGCCUGCGGCGGAUUAGCUAGUUGGUAAGGUAAUGGCUUACCAAGGCGACGAUCCGUAGCCGGCCUGAGAGGGCGGUCGGCCACACUGACACUGACAUACGGGUCAGACUCCUACGGGAGGCAGCAGUCGGGAAUUUUGGGCAAUGGGCGAAAGCCUGACCCAGCAACGCCGCGUGAAGGAUGAAAUCCCUCGGGAUGUAAACUUCGCAAGAACGGGAAGAAUAAGUCGGUGCUAACACCACCGGCGAUGACGGUACCGUUUGUAAGCUCCGACUAACUCCGUGCCAGCAGCCGCGGUAAUACGGGGGGAGCAAGCGUUGUUCGGAUUUACUGGGCGUAAAGGGCGCGUAGGCGGCCACCGCAAGUCAAUUGUGAAAUCUCCGGGCUUAACUCGGAAAGGUCAACUGAUACUGCGGGGCUAGAGUGCAGAAGGGGCAACUGGAAUUCUCGGUGUAGCGGUGAAAUGCGUAGAUAUCGAGAGGAACACCUGCGGCGAAGGCGGGUUGCUGGGCUGACACUGACGCUGAGGCGCGAAAGCUAGGGGAGCGAACGGGAUUAGAUACCCCGGUAGUCCUAGCCUUAAACGAUGAAUGCUUGGUGUCUGGGGUUUUAAAGUCCCCGGGUGCCGUCGCUAACGCUUUAAGCAUUCCGCCUGGGGAGUACGGUCGCAAGACUGAAACUCAAAGGAAUUGACGGGGACCCGCACAAGCGGUGGAGCAUGUGGUUCAAUUCGACGCAACGCGAAGAACCUUACCUGGGCUAGACAACGGCGGACCGUCCUAGAAAUAGGACUUUCCCUUCGGGGACCGCCGGUUCAGGUGCUGCAUGGCUGUCGUCAGCUCGUGCCGUGAGGUGUUGGGUUAAGUCCCGCAACGAGCGCAACCCUCGUCCUUAGUUGCCACCAUUCAGUUGGGCACUCUAGGGAGACUGCCGGCGUUAAGCCGGAGGAAGGUGGGGACGACGUCAAGUCAUCAUGGCCCUUAUGUCCAGGGCCACACACGUGCUACAAUGGGCGGUACAAAGGGUCGCAAACCCGCGAGGGGGAGCCAAUCCCAAAAAGCCGCUCUCAGUUCGGAUUGGAGUCUGCAACUCGACUCCAUGAAGUUGGAAUCGCUAGUA
rnacentral:rRNA from 1 species